GACGAACGCUGGCGGCGUGCUUAACACAUGCAAGUCGAACGGUGAAGGGACCGGUUUUUGCUGGUUCUGGCUGAGUGGCGAACGGGUGAGUAACACGUGAGUAACCUGCCCCCUUCUUCUGGAUAACCGCAUGAAAGUGUGGCUAAUACGGGAUAUUCUGCGCCUGCUGCAUGGUGGGUGUGGGAAAGAUAUUGUUUCGGUGGGGGAUGGGCUCGCGGCCUAUCAGCUUGUUGGUGGGGUGAUGGCCUACCAAGGCGGUGACGGGUAGCCGGCCUGAGAGGGUGGACGGUCACACUGGGACUGAGACACGGCCAAGACUCGUACGGGAGGCAGCAGUGGGGAAUAUUGCACAAUGGGCGCAAGCCUGAUGCAGCGACGCCGCGUGAGGGAUGGAGGCCUUCGGGUUGUAAACCUCUUUCGCCAGUGAAGCAGGCCUGUCCCUUUUGUGGGUGGGUUGACGGUAGCUGGAUAAGAAGCGCCGGCUAACUACGUG
rnacentral:rRNA from 1 species